AAAGGGGGAUUGGCUAGGCAACACUACCUUCCCCUGAUAACACAAUAUCCCUUCAACUAGAGAUAACCAGCCUUGCUACUAAUUCAUGUUUGCAGGUUAGACCUGAUUUUUCCUAAAAUAGGGUCUGCGGCUAUCUCCUUUAUGAUCUCAUCUAGGUUAAGAACCCUAGAAGUAGAGAGUGUUAACAUGUUCAGUUCUGGAAAAAUUCGGGGUAAAGCAUCUGCUGCCUUCUUUUCC
rnacentral:lncRNA from 1 species